GGAGAGGUGCGAGAGUGGCCGAAUCGGGCGGUCUCGAAAACCGCUGUCCGGGAAACUGGACCGUGGGUUCGAAUCCCAC
rnacentral:tRNA from 1 species